CCUACGGGGGGCAGCAGUGGGGAAUAUUGGACAAUGGGCGAAAGCCUGAUCCAGCCAUGCCGCGUGUGUGAAGAAGGCCUUCGGGUUGUAAAGCACUUUCAGUGGGGAAGAAAGCCUUGGGGCUAAUACCCUCGAGGAAGGACAUCACCCACAGAAGAAGCACCGGCUAACUCCGUGCCCGCAGCCGCGGUAAUACGGAGGGUGCGAGCGUUAAUCGGAAUUACUGGGCGUAAAGCGCGCGUAGGCGGUCUGAUAAGCCGGUUGUGAAAGCCCCGGGCUUAACCUGGGAACGGCAUCCGGAACUGUCAGGCUAGAGUGCAGGAGAGGAAGGUAGAAUUCCCGGUGUAGCGGUGAAAUGCGUAGAGAUCGGGAGGAAUACCAGUGGCGAAGGCGGCCUUCUGGACUGACACUGACGCUGAGGUGCGAAAGCGUGGGUAGCAAACAGGAUUAGAUACCCGGGUAGUC
rnacentral:rRNA from 1 species